rnacentral:rRNA from 1 species
UGAACGCUGGCGGCGUGCCUAAUACAUGCAAGUCGAGCGAACGGACGAGAAGCUUGCUUCUCUGAUGUUAGCGGCGGACGGGUGAGUAACACGUGGAUAACCUACCUAUAAGACUGGGAUAACUUCGGGAAACCGGAGCUAAUACCGGAUAAUAUUUUGAACCGCAUGGUUCAAAAGUGAAAGACGGUCUUGCUGUUACUUAUAGAUGGAUCCGCGCUGCAUUAGCUAGUUGGUAAGGUAACGGCUUACCAAGGCAACGAUGCAUAGCCGACCUGAGAGGGUGAUCGGCCACACUGGAACUGAGACACGGUCCAGACUCCUACGGGAGGCAGCAGUAGGGAAUCUUCCGCAAUGGGCGAAAGCCUGACGGAGCAACGCCGCGUGAGUGAUGAAGGUCUUCGGAUCGUAAAACUCUGUUAUUAGGGAAGAACAUAUGUGUAAGUAACUGUGCACAUCUUGACGGUACCUAAUCAGAAAGCCACGGCUAACUACGUG